CGGCGAGUGAAGCGGCAACAGCUCAAAUUUGAAAUCUGGCUCUUUCAGGGUCCGAGUUGUAAUUUGCAGAGGGCGCUUUGGCGUUGGCAGCGGUCCAAGUUCCUUGGAACAGGACGUCACAGAGGGUGAGAAUCCCGUACGUGGUCGCUAACCUUCGCCGUGUAAAGCCCCUUCGACGAGUCGAGUUGUUUGGGAAUGCAGCUCUAAAUGGGAGGUAAAUUUCUUCUAAAGCUAAAUACUGGCCAGAGACCGAUAGCGCACAAGUAGAGUGAUCGAAAGAUGAAAAGCACUUUGGAAAGAGAGUCAAAUAGCACGUGAAAUUGUUGAAAGGGAAGCGCUUGCAGCCAGACUUGCCUGUAGUUGCUCAUCUAGGCUUUUGCCUAGUGCACUCUUCUAUGGGCAGGCCAGCAUCAGUUUGGGCGGUUGGAUAAAGGUCUCUGUCAUGUACCUCUCUUCGGGGAGGCCUUAUAGGGGAGACGACAUGCAACCAGCCUGGACUGAGGUCCGCGCAUCUGCUAGGAUGCUGGCGUAAUGGCUGUAAGCGGCCCGUCUUGAAACACGGACCAAGGAGUCUAACAUCUAUGCGAGUGUUUGGGUGUCAAGCCCGAACGCGUAAUGAAAGUGAACGGAGGUGGGAACCUUAGGGUGCACCAUCGACCGAUCCUGAUGUCUUCGGAAGGAUUUGAGUAAGAGCAUGGCUGUUGGGACCCGAAAGAUGGUGAACUAUGCUUGAAUAGGGUGAAGCCAGAGGAAACUCUGGUGGAGGCUCGCAGCGGUUCUGACGUGCAAAUCGAUCGUCAAAUUUGGGCAUAGGGGCGAAAGACUAAUCGAACUAUCUAGUAGCUGGUUCCUGCC
rnacentral:rRNA from 1 species